GCGAACGGGUGAGUAACACGUGGGCAAUCUGCCCUGCACUCUGGGACAAGCCUUGGAAACGAGGUCUAAUACCGGAUACGACCCUGGAGCGCAUGCUCCGGGGUGGAAAGCUCCGGCGGUGCAGGAUGAGCCCGCGGCCUAUCAGCUUGUUGGUGGGGUGAUGGCCUACCAAGGCGACGACGGGUAGCCGGCCUGAGAGGGCGACCGGCCACACUGGGACUGAGACACGGCCCAGACUCCUACGGGAGGCAGCAGUGGGGAAUAUUGCACAAUGGGCGCAAGCCUGAUGCAGCGACGCCGCGUGAGGGAUGAAGGCCUUCGGGUUGUAAACCUCUUUCAGCAGGGAAGAAGCGCAAGUGACGGUACCUGCAGAAGAAGCACCGGCUAACUACGUGCCAGCAGCCGCGGUAAUACGUAGGGUGCGAGCGUUGUCCGGAAUUAUUGGGCGUAAAGAGCUCGUAGGCGGCUUGUCGCGUCGGAUGUGAAAGCCCGGGGCUUAACCCCGGGUCUGCAUUCGAUACGGGCAGGCUAGAGUGUGGUAGGGGAGAUCGGAAUUCCUGGUGUAGCGGUGAAAUGCGCAGAUAUCAGGAGGAACACCGGUGGCGAAGGCGGAUCUCUGGGCCAUUACUGACGCUGAGGAGCGAAAGCGUGGGGAGCGAACAGGAUUAGAUACCCUGGUAGUCCA
rnacentral:rRNA from 1 species